rnacentral:rRNA from 1 species
GACGAACGCUGGCGGCGUGCUUAACACAUGCAAGUCGAACGGUGAAGCGCCUUCCUUUUUGGUGGGUGUGGAUGAGUGGCGAACGGGUGAGUAACACGUGAGUAACCUGCCCCCUUCUUCUGGAUAACCGCAUGAAAGUGUGGCUAAUACGGGAUAUUCUGGGUCUGUCGCAUGAUGGGUCUGGGAAAGAUAUUGUUUCGGUGGGGGAUGGGCUCGCGGCCUAUCAGCUUGUUGGUGGGGUGAUGGCCUACCAAGGCGGUGACGGGUAGCCGGCCUGAGAGGGUGGACGGUCACACUGGGACUGAGACCCGGCCCAGACUCCUACGGGAGGCAGCAGUGGGGAAUAUUGCACAAUGGGCGCAAGCCUGAUGCAGCGACGCCGCGUGAGGGAUGGAGGCCUGCGGGUUGUGAACCUCUUUCGCCAGUGAAGCAGGCCUGCCUCGUUUGUGGGUGGGUUGACGGUAGCUGGAUAAGAAGCGCCGGCUAACUACGUG